ACUCCUACGGGAGGCAGCAGUAGGGAAUCUUCCACAAUGGGCGAAAGCCUGAUGGAGCAACGCCGCGUGGGUGAAGAAGGUCUUCGGAUCGUAAAACCCUGUUGUUAGAGAAGAAAGUGCGUGAGAGUAACUGUUCACGUUUCGACGGUAUCUAACCAGAAAGCCACGGCUAACUACGUGCCAGCAGCCGCGGUAAU
rnacentral:rRNA from 1 species